AGCUCCAAGAGCGUAUAUUAACGUUGUUGCAGUUAAAAAGCUCGUAGUUGAAGGUUGGUUGUAGUGGUUGGGGGUAAUGCUUCUGAUUGCUAGAACCAAUUAUGGUUUUUCUCACGAAAGACCUCAUUUACUGUGAAACAAUGAGAGUGUUCAACACAAUCGUAUUGAAUAUGUAUCCUCUAGCAUGGAAUAAUAAUUUA
rnacentral:rRNA from 1 species